rnacentral:rRNA from 1 species
GACGAACGCUGGCGGCGUGCCUAAUACAUGCAAGUAGAACGCUGAAGGAGGAGCUUGCUUCUCCGGAUGAGUUGCGAACGGGUGAGUAACGCGUAGGUAACCUGCCUGGUAGCGGGGGAUAACUAUUGGAAACGAUAGCUAAUACCGCAUAACAGUAGAUGUUGCAUGACAUUUGCUUAAAAGGUGCAAUUGCAUCACUACCAGAUGGACCUGCGUUGUAUUAGCUAGUUGGUGAGGUAACGGCUCACCAAGGCGACGAUACAUAGCCGACCUGAGAGGGUGAUCGGCCACACUGGGACUGAGACACGGCCCAGACUCCUACGGGAGGCAGCAGUAGGGAAUCUUCGGCAAUGGACGGAAGUCUGACCGAGCAACGCCGCGUGAGUGAAGAAGGUGUUCGGAUCGUAAAGCUCUGUUGUAAGAGAAGAACGAGUGUGAGAGUGGAAAGUUCACACUGUGACGGUAUCUUACCAGAAAGGGACGGCUAACUACGUG